rnacentral:rRNA from 1 species
GUUUGAUCCUGGCUCAGGAUGAACGCUAGCGGCAGGCCUAACACAUGCAAGUCGAGGGGUAACAGGGUAGCAAUAUCGCUGACGACCGGCGCACGGGUGAGUAAUGCAUAUGCAACCUUCCUUUAACUGGGGCAUAGCCCGGAGAAAUUCGGAUUAAUACCCCAUAAGAUCACAGAAAGGCAUCUUUUAGUGAUUAAAGCUCCGGCGGUUAAAGAUGGGCAUAUGUGCCAUUAGCUAGUUGGUGAGGUAACUGCUCACCAAGGCUACGAUGGCUAGGGGGUCUGAGAGGACGAUCCCCCACACUGGUACUGAGACACGGACCAGACUCCUACGGGAGGCAGCAGUGAGGAAUAUUGGGCAAUGGGCGCAAGCCUGACCCAGCCAUGCCGCGUGAAAGAUGAAUGCCCUAUGGGUUGUAAACUUCUUUUGUACGAGACGAAACUCCUGGUCGUGACCGGGAUUGACUGUACCGUGCGAAUAAGCAUCGGCUAACUCCGUGCCAGCAGCCGCGGUAAUACGGAGGAUGCAAGCGUUAUCCGGAUUCAUUGGGUUUAAAGGGUGCGUAGGCGGAAUAGUAAGUCAGUGGUGAAAGCCUGCGGCUUAACCGUAGGAAUGCCAUUGAUACUGUUAUUCUUGAGUAUAGUUGAAGUGGGCGGAUGUGUAAUGUAGCGGUGAAAUGCUUAGAUAUUACACAGAACACCAAUUGCGAAGGCAGCUCACUAAGCUGUUACUGACGCUGAGGCACGAAAGCGUGGGGAGCAAACAGGAUUAGAUACCCUGGUAGUCCACGCCGUAAACGAUGAUCACUCGUUGUUGGCGAUAUACCGUCAGCGACUGAGCGAAAGCAAUAAGUGAUCCACCUGGGGAGUACGGUCGCAAG